ACGGAGCAACGCCGCGUGAGUGAUGAAGGCUUUCGGGUCGUAAAACUCUGUUGUUAGGGAAGAACAAGUGCUAGUUGAAUAAGCUGGCACCUUGACGGUACCUAACCAGAAAGCCACGGCUAACUACGUGCCAGCAGCCGCGGUAAUACGUAGGUGGCAAGCGUUAUCCGGAAUUAUUGGGCGUAAAGCGCGCGCAGGUGGUUUCUUAAGUCUGAUGUGAAAGCCCACGGCUCAACCGUGGAGGGUCAUUGGAAACUGGGAGACUUGAGUGCAGAAGAGGAAAGUGGAAUUCCAUGUGUAGCGGUGAAAUGCGUAGAGAUAUGGAGGAACACCAGUGGCGAAGGCGACUUUCUGGUCUGUAACUGACACUGAGGCGCGAAAGCGUGGGGAGCAAACAGGAUUAGAUACCCUGGUAGUCCACGCCGUAAACGAUGAGUGCUAAGUGUUAUAGGGUUU
rnacentral:rRNA from 2 species